rnacentral:tmRNA from 1 species
GGGGGCGAAUGGUCUCGACAGUGGUAUGGGGACUGAUGGUUGCAUGCCGAGGUGCCACAACCUCGUAAAAAGUGGCAAAAAUUUAAUUGGCACAAGCCAAGUUGCAUUUGCUGCAUAAACGCAGCAAACAUCUUCCAGGACUUUGUCUAUCGGGUUUUGUGAAGGUGACGGAUUGAUAGACUGGUUCUUCUGAGUUAUCCCAGUCAGAAGGAUAAGAUUUUAUGGGACUAUGCCUUUAGUGAAUCCUAUUCGGAGGAGUCCUUAAGGUGAAAUUAAAGCCCGAAAAAAGCAUGUAGUAGCUGUCAGUUUAGUACUACUGGACGUGGGUUCGAUUCCCACCGCCUCCAC